GUCGUUGGAGCGAUCAACCCAUUAUUUUUCAUCCAUUGGAAACCCUAGCAUUUUGUGGAAUUGAAGAGGAUAGAUCGUGGGCAGCCCGAAUCAUAGGUUGGAUUUAGCUUGAGUUUGGAUCGUAUUGGAGAGCGUUUGAGGUACGGACGCACAGCCUGGUGAUCCACCUGUUUAGGACACCCUUUCUGCUAUUCGGAGUGCUCCUCUCUUUCCGGAGCUUAUACUUUUGGUAUAUAUAUUUAUUAGUGCAUUUGUAUAUAUUCGUUCAUGGGUACGGCGGGGCCCUGUCCCGUCAUAUGAUUCUGUCGGUCUGUUUAGAGGUCUGUGGACAUGUUUGUGGGUUAGGGUCUUUCUGUAUGGAUAGGUGUAUAUGUUGUUUGGGCGAUCCCAUACGCCGAGGCGGCCGGUCCGCAUAUGUUUAUACAUUGCUUGGUUAGCCCUGUGUGGCUUUUGUUGGUAUUUUCUGCGUGCAGGGUAUAUUGGAUAGUCCGUAAAACAAAGGAAACUCUGCCGAAAUUUUUCUGGAAAUUACCUAAAUUUGAAAUAAAGCCUUGUCGGCUUCCGCCAUAUACUAGAAUGAGUUGAUAGAA